rnacentral:rRNA from 1 species
UACGUAGGAGACGAGCGUUGUCCGGAGUUACUGGGCGUAAAGGGUGCGCAGGUGGCGGCGCGCGUGGGGGGUGAAAUCGCCCGGCUUAACUGGGCGGGGCCUUCCAGACGGCGUGGCUUGAGCAGCGGAGGGGGACGUGGAAUUCCGGGUGGGAGCGGUGAAAUGCGUAGAGAUCAUGAGGAAGACCAGUGGCGAAGGCGGGUCUCUGGACAGCUCCUGACACUGAGGCACGAAGGCCAGGGGAGCAAACGGG